rnacentral:lncRNA from 1 species
UGAACCACAUCUCUAGCUCCCUUUUUUGGUAUUUUAUUUAGAGACAGGGUCUCACUGAUUGCUUAGCAACUCACUAAAUUGCUGGGGCUGGCUUUGAACUCCCAGUCCUCCUCUCUCAGCCUCCCAAGCCACUGGGAUUAUAGGCAUGUACCACCGUACCCAGCUUUUAAAUUGUAUUUUGAGAUAGGCUCUUGCUAAGGUGCCCAGGCUGGCCUCAAACUUUCGAAUUCCUGUCUCAGCCCUCUGAGUAGCUGGAACCAUAGGUAUAUGUUGCCAAAUUAGUGUUUUUUAAAAAACAGUCCUUAUCCAGGGAGUGAAGUGACUUGGGUAUUGGGGAAAUUACUAGCUUUCAGUCCCAGACCAGAAGGCGUGCCUGCUAUCCCAGCCAUGACUUGCUGAUUUGAUACAUGCCACCUUUAGGGAGGCAGCAGAAAGGACUUCACUUCUCAGUCUCCAAAGAGAAAAGCCCUCUGAUGUCUUGCUUACCUUGGCUGCACCAUCUCUGGCCCCACCUGCAUGGCCUGAUUCGAGGCAGACUGCCUGGCUACCUUGGGACUGUCCUGGAAAACAGCCACUGUCACACCUUUUACGGUGGCUGGAGGGACUCAGACAGAGGGCCAGUCUGGGGUGAAAGGGAGGCCAGCCUACUGCUUCAGGUUUCCUGUGUCCAGCCCUGGAAAACCUUGGUGUUAAUAUUUAAUGCAAUAAUGUUCUAUUUUCCUUUUUUCCCCAGACUGUUAGUAUAUGUAAUUAAAAAAAAAAUUUUUAACCAGGGGUACUAUACCACUGAACUACAUCCCUAUCCUUUUUUAUUUCAGACAGUCUUGCUAAGUUGCCCAGGCUGGCCUCCAACUUGCCAUCCUCCUGCUUCAGCCUCCCUGUCAGCUAGAAUUAUGGGUGUGCACUACCACACAUGGCUAAAUAGAGCCUUUUUACGUACCUUAGGAAAAUUUGGUGAAGAAAGGUAAAUUGAGCAUUAACAGCUCUAAUUCUUCCUACCCCUUUAAAAAGUGAAAUUGUUUUUUCUUCUGUGUGUGUUUUUUAGCCUUUUGAUCUUUUAUUACUCAAAGAAGCUUCAUUUUUAAAAUUUCACUUUAUGACUUUGCCGUGCCUUCAACACUUCACAAUAAUUUUCUGCUCCUCAAUAAUGAAGACACACUUGUCACCAACACAUGUAGCACACAUGGAACCACCAUAGGCCCUGCUGAUAUAGUUUUGUUUUAGAAAAUUUUAUCAGAACUUUAGGUCUCAAAGCACAAACCCCUUGAAGUCUGCCUGGAUACACAUCAUAUGCAGAUUUUAAUGCUUUCCCAACCUUCUUGGUAUGAAGGUUAACAAUUACCAGGGACUCAGGACAGACUAUUUUGUUAGAGAUUAUAUUGUCUGUCAAUUACUAGACCAUCUCUGAAUGAUCUUGCAUUCCUGAGAGCUUCCUGCAUUCAACUCCUUGGAUGGCAGCCAAUUUUACCUUUUUUUUUUUUUUUUGGUAUGCUUUCUAUUCUAAAUACAUACUCUAAUCCUUCUAAUCAUACUUCAUAGUCACCAGAGAGAGUAUAGGCCCC